GGCCAUAUAGUGUAGUGGUUAUCACUUGGGAUUUUGACCUUGAAUUCCCAUAACCCAGGUUCGAACCCUGGUAUGGCCU